UACGGAGGGAGCUAGCGUUGUUCGGAAUUACUGGGCGUAAAGCGCACGUAGGCGGACGGCUUAGUCAGGCGUGAAAGUCCUGGGCUUAACCUGGGGACUGCGGUUGAUACGGGUUGGCUUGAGUGGGGAAGAGGGUCGUGGAAUUCCCAGUGUAGAGGUGAAAUUCGUAGAUAUUGGGAAGAACACCGGUGGCGAAGGCGGCGACCUGGUCCUUGACUGACGCUGAGGCGCGAAAGCGUGGGGAGCAAACAGG
rnacentral:rRNA from 1 species